rnacentral:ncRNA from 1 species
UGCUCUGGGGGUAUUGUCAGGGUGUAAUGCAACAUCCUAGAGUGAGCUCAGGGAGGAUGGAAACCUCCUGUGGAGCUGAAGGGCAAAAAGCUUGCUUGAUCUCAAUUUUCAGUAUGAAUACAGAGCAUGAAAGUGAGGCCCCACAGUUCUUCUGGCUUUUUGGAUUUUAAGCAGGAG